ACAAUGGAGAGUUUGAUCCUGGCUCAGGAUGAACGCUAGCUACAGGCUUAACACAUGCAAGUCGAGGGGAAACGGCAUUGAGUGCUUGCACUCUUUGGACGUCGACCGGCGCACGGGUGAGUAACGCGUAUCCAACCUUCCCAUUACUGUGGGAUAACCUGCCGAAAGGCAGACUAAUACCGCAUAGUCUUCGAUGACGGCAUCAGAUUUGAAGUAAAGAUUUAUCGGUAAUGGAUGGGGAUGCGUCUGAUUAGCUUGUUGGCGGGGUAACGGCCCACCAAGGCGACGAUCAGUAGGGGUUCUGAGACUGUCUCUUAUACACAUCUCCGAGCCCACGAGACGCCAGUGUAUCGCGUA
rnacentral:rRNA from 1 species